rnacentral:lncRNA from 1 species
GAAUAAUGUGAUAUCUUAUUAAUACUAAAAGCAAGAAGAAUACAAGCAUUGAUAAUCAAAAUCUCAUAAACAUUAAGUGCAAUCCAACAAACAAAGGAACCCCAAUGGGUUCAACAACUCUAGCUACUCAUGCUAACGAAUAACACAAAAUAAGGAACAAAAACAUAAAAGAAAAUUGGAGACAUGUACACCCUUCUUCUUCAAGUCAGAUGAACAGUCCUAAAUCUCCAUAUCUGAAUAAUGAACCUUGAAUUGCCUCUUGAAUGCCUCCAAAUCUACUUCUGAUCUUCAAUGUGAUGCUUGAACCACUGAAAUUCGUCCUUCAAUAUGCGUAAUGGUCUUCCAAAGUCGAAUGUUGAAUUCUGAAAAGAGGUGGCUCGCGCACGUAUAUGAGAUCUAAAGUCAGAAAACUGAACCCUUAUACAAGAAAUCGAUUUUGCCUAUAUAAAUGUCCCAGCACAGCCGUGGUCAAGCCCGUGCUGGUCAACACGGGCAGAGUCCAGGUCGUGCUGGACCUUCGAGUCCCGAAAAUCAUCCUCUGCUCCCUAAUUGUGCCCUCACUGGUGCUGAGCCUCCCGGGCCAUGAUGGAGACCGUAGUGGCCUCGGAAACCAUGCUGAAAGGCCAAAUAUGAGGGUCAAAGGUCGAUGAUUCAGCACAGCGAGAGUCCAGGCCGUGCUCAACCUUGAAAUGCUAGCCUUUGUUUAAUUUUGAUGGAUUCUGGUCCGUAUUUGCAUGUAUCACCCUCAAAUACUGAUAAUGUCCAUCAAUGAUCACCUGAAACAUGAAAGGAACCAAAACACAGGUGAUUCUGGCAUAAAACAAGAUAACUAUGAUAAAAAUGGAAGUAACUGGGCAUAUAAACAUGUAUAACACAAUGCAUAUCAUUGUCUUUAAUUUUAGUGUUUAACGGGCCAUUCCCUAUAAAUGCAGCAUAAUAUUUCUACACAUCAAGCACUAUAGCAUGUGAGUCCACCUAAGUCUAGCCUUUUCUAUUAAAGUUUAGCCCAAUAUUCAAAGUUAUUAACCUAUUUUACUAGUCAAUUAUGUAUAAAGUCCUCCUAGUCUAGCCUAAUUACAAGCUAUGCUUUGAUUUCUAACAUUUAAGCCUAAUAGGUAACUUUUUACGAAAAGGCAUAAUUCAGUGAUCUUAAAUCUAGUAUGGCCUAGUUUAACCUAACUAAAGUAUCACAAGCCCUUAAGUCUAUAUUGAUUUUGAAUUUAGGCCCAAUAUGCCAUCUCAUUAACCUAAUG